rnacentral:pre_miRNA from 1 species
UUACUACUCCCUCCGUUCGGAAUUACUUGUCGUAGAAAUGGAUGUAUCUAGACGUAUUUUAGUUCUAGAUACAUCCAUUUUCGCGACAAGUAAUUCCGAACGGAGGGAGUAGAAA